CUCACUCAAUUUUCCCCUCGGUGCUCUUCUGUCAGAGAAAGGGCUCGGCAGAGCCAGGGCCUGGAAGGUGAAAGGAGCCUAAUUUUCCAUGAGAAAUAAGGGCCAAUGUGCCACUGUGAGGACGAUUCACCACAGAGCCAAUGGCCCCAGGGCAGCGGGGGAGUCUCCACGUGGCGAUGGGUCUAUGCCGACGAGAGGCCUUGUUGGAACGCGUCUGGGCACAACCAGCGACUGGGCCGGACGGGGCCUGUGGGACGCAGAGUCAGAUUAGAGGCUCUAACGCUCUCUGGCCAGGAAGCCCAGUGAGGGAGGCAGAGCUGAGUGCUGUGUGGGGAGCAGUUUCUGAGGUAUGACAGUGCAGCCGGCUGACUUCCUAGGAGGAACAGGCAUUGAGAGGGGGGAGCAUAGGGAAUGGCUCAAACAUCCCGAGGGGUGGCCAGAGGCAGGACACACACCCUGCAGGAGAGGGGUGCAGUGACAUCACACAAGCCUUUGGCAGGCCCUCCCCAUAUUAGGCAAAGAUGGUGGGGAGGUGGUGACCUCACUGAGAGAUGCUGACAUCAGCCAGGCACAAGAGGGGCAAGGCCGGGAUGACCUCGCAGACCCCUGUGGCACUUGCUAAGGCAAGUCUCUGUCUCGCGUUGUCUCUCUGAAGACUCAGAGCUUCCUGGUUCCUGCACGUGAGCGCCUGGAGGAAUCUCUGUCGAGCUUUUUCCUCCUUCGCCUGAUUUGUCUACAGCCCAGACAUCCCUGCGGAGAAGUGUAGAGAAGCCUGAGAGAAGUAAAAGCAGCAGCAGCAGCAGAAUCAAAAGAGGAAGAAGCAGAAGAAGUAACAGCAACAGAAGAUACAGCAGAAAGAAGGACAACAGAAAAAGAAGCUGCAGUAGCACAAACAAAAGAAGAAGAAGCAUGAAAAAAGCAGGGCAGAAGAAGUAGCAGAAAAAGAAUAGUAGAAGAAACGAGGUAAUAGCAGCUGAAGAAGAAAAAUUAAAAGAAGCAGCAGUGGCACAAAAAGAAAAGUAGGAGCAGCAGGAGAAAAAGCAGAAGAAGAAGGAACAGAAAAAGCAUCAGUAGCAGAAGAAUCAGUAGCAGGUUAAAAGAAAACCGAAACAGGAAAUAACCAGCCACAGAAUCAGUAGAAGAAGAGACAGACUGAAGCAGAAGUGGCAGCGGCAGCAGCAAUAGAAGAAGAAGCAACAGAAAAGGAUGGAGCAGCAGAAGCAGAUGAAGCAGCAGGAGAAAUAUCAGAAGAAGAAGUGGCAGAAAUAGAAAAGUAGCAGCAGUAGUAGAUGCAAGGGAAGAAACAGCAAAACAAACCAAAGAAGCAGCCUGAAAAGAAGUGGGGCAGGGAAAGUUGUGGGAACUGAAGCUGAUGAAGGCGCAGCAGCAACAGUAGGAGAAGUAGCAGAAGAAAAGAGGCAGGAGGAGAAGAAAAAUAGCAGCAGAAGCAGAAACAGAAGCACAGGAGAAGAGCAGAAGAAAGAGGCAGUAGCAGCUACAACAGUAGAAGAAAUUCAGCAGAAGAAGCCGUGGCAGAAGAAGAAAACUAGCAGCAGAAUAGGUAGUACAAACAAAGGAAGAAGGAGCAAAAGCAGCAGAAGAAGAAUCAACAAAAGAAACAACAGAAGAAACAGCAGCAGCAGAAGAAAAACAAGCAGCAACAGAAGAAAAGAAACAGCAGAA